rnacentral:rRNA from 1 species
UCGAGAAUCUUUCGCAAUGGGCGAAAGCCUGACGAAGCGACGCCGUGUGAGCGAUGAAGGCCCUAGGGUCGUAAAGCUCUUUCGCUUGGGAACAAGGGGAUCCGGCUAAUAUCCGGAGAACUUGAGGGUACCAGGUAAAGAAGCACCGGCUAACUCCGUGCCAGCAGCUGCGGUAAUACGGAGGGUGCAAGCAUUAAUCGGAAUUAUUGGGCGUAAAGGGCGCGUAGGCGGAGAGGAAAGUCAGAUGUGAAAUCCCGGGGCUCAACCCCGGAACAGCAUUUGAAACUUCCCUUCUAGAGGAUAGGCGGAGAAAAUGGAAUUCCACAAGUAGCGGUGAAAUGCGUAGAUAUGUGGAAGAACACCAGUGGCGAAGGCGGUUUUCUAGCUUAAACCUGACGCUGAGGCGCGAAAGCAAGGGGAUCAAACAGGAUUAGAUACCCCGGUAGUCC